AGGAAUGUGGCUUAGUGGUACAGUGCUUGCCUUGCAUGCAUGAAGCGGUGGGUUCCAUUCCUC
rnacentral:tRNA from 1 species